rnacentral:lncRNA from 1 species
AUCUUUGUAAACAAAAAAAAUUGAAUUGCAGAAAAAUAAAAUAAAAAUUAAACAAGAAAAAUUGGAUUUCACAAUCAGUACUACAAUCAGAAUAAAAUCUUAGUAAAAAAAUAAAAAAUUAAUCGCAGAAACAAAUUUGCCAGAAGAGAGAAGAAGCAAAUGGAAAACAAAUAAAUCUCAAUUUUUUUUUAAAAAUGGACUUUCCAGGAGAAGAAGAGACGAAGCAAUCCUCAUCAUGACUUCGCCGGCGAUAUUAGCUUUGUUUCUCCUCCGUUCACCGACAAAUCGAUACCAAGUUUUUAUUUUUUUUUUUUGGUUCUAAAUUUCUAAUAGAAGAAUCUCAUCAGAGAGACAAGAAAGAGAGAGAGAGAGAGAGAGUCAAAGGUUGUGUGUGAAAGAGGUUUUUAUAAAUAUUACAACAGUGUUGUGUUGUGCUGUGUUGUGUGUGCGCUUCAUGAAAGCUCUGCUGCCAUUUUCAGGUCCUAGGGAUGUGGUGAGAGAGGGUAUUUGUGAUUUGACGAAUUUACCCUCGCUUUCGGUUUGUUUUUAUAUCUGACGUGGUUUUGUCGCCGAGGGGGUUUUCCGUAAUACUGGGGAGAAAGGAUUUUACGCGGUUCCUCCGGAAACUGAUUUUUG